CCUACGGGUGGCAGCAGUGAGGAAUAUUGGUCAAUGGACGAGAGUCUGAACCAGCCAAGUAGCGUGAGGGAAGAAUGUCCAGCGGAUCGUAAACCUCUUUUGUCAGGGAACAAAAGCGGUGACUAGUCCCCUGAUGAGGGUACCUGAAGAAAAAGCAUCGGCUAACUCCGUGCCAGCAGCCGCGGUAAUACGGAGGAUUCGAGCGUUAUCCGGAUUUAUUGGGUUUAAAGGGUGCGUAGGGUGGUUGUUUAGUCAGCUGUGAAAGUUUGUGGAUCAACCAUAAAAUUGCAAUUGAAACUGGAAGUCUUGAGUGUGGUUGAGGUGGGCGGAAUUCGUGGUGUAGCGGUGAAAUGCAUAGAUAUCACGCAGAACUCCGAUUGCGAAGGCAGUUCACUAGGCCACAACUGACACUGAAGCACGAAAGCGUGGGCAUCAAACAGGAUUAGAUACCCUUGUAGUC
rnacentral:rRNA from 1 species